rnacentral:rRNA from 1 species
GAUGAACGCUGGCGGCGUGCCUAAUACAUGCAAGUCGAGCGAAUGGAUUAAGAGCUUGCUCUUAUGAAGUUAGCGGCGGACGGGUGAGUAACACGUGGGUAACCUGCCCAUAAGACUGGGAUAACUCCGGGAAACCGGGGCUAAUACCGGAUAACAUUUUGAACCGCAUGGUUCGAAAUUGAAAGGCGGCUUCGGCUGUCACUUAUGGAUGGACCCGCGUCGCAUUAGCUAGUUGGUGAGGUAACGGCUCACCAAGGCAACGAUGCGUAGCCGACCUGAGAGGGUGAUCGGCCACACUGGGACUGAGACACGGCCCAGACUCCUACGGGAGGCAGCAGUAGGGAAUCUUCCGCAAUGGACGAAAGUCUGACGGAGCAACGCCGCGUGAGUGAUGAAGGCUUUCGGGUCGUAAAACUCUGUUGUUAGGGAAGAACAAGUGCUAGUUGAAUAAGCUGGCACCUUGACGGUACCUAACCAGAGAGCUACGGCUAACUACGUGCCAGCCGCCGCGGUAA